rnacentral:lncRNA from 1 species
AUAUUACGCUUAUCUCCAUAAGAGGGGCUCACGCAAAUCUUCAAAACAAUGGCUUUGGAUACAUGCACGAUGCUCAAGUUUUACAUAAUAUUGAGCAUAAUGAUUGUUAAUCAUUCUAUGAACUUCCUUCAAGAUUAAUUCUGGAUUUAAGGUAAGUAUUUUACUUUUCUCUUUCAAAUUUUUGUAAUUCUAUAAUUUGAUUUUAAAUACAAGCAUAGACGGUAAAUUUUG